ensembl:miRNA Mir17 microRNA mir-17
GUCAGGAUAAUGUCAAAGUGCUUACAGUGCAGGUAGUGAUAUGCACAUCUACUGCAGUGCAGGCACUUGUGGCAUUAUGGUGAC